rnacentral:rRNA from 1 species
UCAGGCCUAACGCAUGGGCUCGAACGCCCUCUUCGGAGGGAGUGGCAGACGGGUGACUAACGCGUGGGAACCUACCCUUUAGAACGGAAUAAUCCAUGCCAACCUGGCCUAGUACCGGAUAUUCCCUUCGGGGGAAAGAUUUAUCGCUAAAGGAUGGGCCCGCGUCAUAUUAGCUAGUUGGUGGGGUAAUGGCCUACCAAGGCUACGAUCUGUAGCUGGUCUGAGAGGAUGAUCGGCCACACUGGGACUGAGACACGGCCCAGACUCCUACGGGAGGCAGCAGUGGGGAAUCUUGGACAAUGGGCGCAAGCCUGAUCCAGCCAUGCCGCGUGAAUGAUGAGGGCCUUAGGGUCGUAAAAUUCUUUCGCCAGGGAAGAUAAUGACGGUACCUGGUAAAGAAGCCCCGGGUAACUCCGUGCCAGCUGCCGCGGUAAUACGGAGGGGGCUAGCGUUGUUCGGAAUUACUGGGCGUAAAGCGUGCGUAGGCGGAUCAUUAAGUUGGGGGUGAAAUCCCGGGGCUCAACCUCGGAACUGCCCUCAAAACUGGUGAUCUAGAGUUUGGUAGAGGUAAGCGGAAUUCCGAGUGUAGGGGUGAAAUCCACAGAUAUUCGGAGGAACACCAGUGGCGAAGGCGGCUUACUGGGCCAAUACUGACGCUGACGCACGAAUGCGUGGGGAGCAAACAGGAUUAGAUACACUG